rfam:Clostridium argentinense CDC 2741 T732.Contig246, whole genome shotgun sequence.
UUUCUCCUGCUGUGUGCGUUGAAUAGGUCUAUGUUGAGCCAACAUUGAUACAAUAGGAACUUAACUCUUCAUGUGGAGCGUUGACUAGAGCACGACUCGGGUACCAGAAGCAAUGAAGGAGAUUUCCGCCCGUGGUAGAACGGGUUCAAAUAUACCUUGGAAACGGCAUGGUGGGGAUUAA